AUACGGAGGGUGCAAGCGUUAUCCGGAUUCACUGGGUUUAAAGGGUGCGUAGGUGGGCAGAUAAGUCAGUGGUGAAAUCUUCCGGCUUAACCGGAAAAUUGCCGUUGAUACUAUUUGUCUUGAAUAUUGUGGAGGUAAGCGGAAUAUGUCAUGUAGCGGUGAAAUGCUUAGAUAUGACAUAGAACACCAAUUGCGAAGGCAGCUUACUAUAUAAUUAUUGACACUGAGGCACGAAAGCGUGGGUAGCGAACAGGAUUAGAUACCCUGGUAGUCCACGCCCUAAACGAUGAUUACUCGACAUACGCGAUACACUGUGUGUGUCUGAGCGAAAGCAUUAAGUAAUCCACCUGGGAAGUACGACCGCAAGGUUGAA
rnacentral:rRNA from 1 species